rnacentral:rRNA from 1 species
GAUGAACGCUGGCGGCGUGCCUAAUACAUGCAAGUCGAGCGAACGGACGAGAAGCUUGCUUCUCUGAUGUUAGCGGCGGACGGGUGAGUAACACGUGGAUAACCUACCUAUAAGACUGGGAUAACUUCGGGAAACCGGAGCUAAUACCGGAUAAUAUUUUGAACCGCAUGGUUCAAAAGUGAAAGACGGUCUUGCUGUCACUUAUAGAUGGAUCCGCGCUGCAUUAGCUAGUUGGUAAGGUAACGGCUUACCUAGGCAACGAUGCAUAGCCGACCUGAGAGGGUGAUCGGCCACACUGGAACUGAGACACGGUCCAGACUCCUACGGGAGGCAGCAGUAGGGAAUCUUCCGCAAUGGGCGAAAGCCUGACGGAGCAACGCCGCGUGAGUGAUGAAGGUCUUCGGAUCGUAAAACUCUGUUAUUAGGGAAGAACAUAUGUGUAAGUAACUGUGCACAUCUUGACGGUACCUAAUCAGAAAGCCACGGCUAACUACGUG